ACAUUUGUGAAGUCAGUCGGGCAAGAGAAGCCAUCACUCUGCUCCAUCAAGCACCUGCAGAGUUUAGAAGCUGUGCAGGUCAAGCAGAAGACACCACUUCUCCCCUUCUAGGCCUGAGUUCUGCAGCCAAAAGCUACCAUAACGGAUUAAUGACAAAGUCACCUACUUCAGGGGUUAGCCAAGGUGGUCAAAAUUCCUCCUCUCUGACAGCAAUGUCAAACAGCAAAGGAGUAUUAGACAAUAUAGUCAUUUUACAUACCUUUAAUCCAUGUACUUUAAUCUGCAGAAUAUACAGUGGAAGGGGGUGAGGAGAACUGAAAUUGUGCUGAGGAUGAAUACUCUGGGUCAACACUGAGCAAAGGACAGGCAGAGGCAGAAGCUGACAUGAAGCAGCAGAAGACAGGUGGAGAGAGAAACGGACAAGUUCUCCUGUCCAUCUAUGAAACCCUAUGCAGGGAGAGAAUGCAGCAUCCCAGAGAGAACUAAAAAAGACUGCAUGCUGCCACAACCCAAAAGGCACCAAGAGCUCUUAACUAAGGUAGCUAACUAAAGCACAUGGAAGAUCACCUUGAGAAAACAGUUCAGAGACUGGGAAAAGCAGCCCAUGGCUACAACAGCUCAAAAGUCUCAGGUCCCAUCUCCAUCCUACAAAAAGAAUGAGGGUGACCCAUCUCAGCAGACCUCUCCCCUCCAGAGUGAAAAGGAUUUAAAUGCAGGAUCUUCCAAGUAGAGCACUCAAGUUCAACACCA